UUCUCCCCGCUUCGCUGGAGUGGAAAAUAACGGCUUCAAACUUUGCAGAGAGGAGCUGGUGCCAGCACUUUAAUUAACAGCCAUCUUGGCCUGCGAGCCGGGGCCACCGGCUCGCCCCUCCCCAGGGCUCGCCAGGCCCCGCCCCGCCACCACCCCCACCCGGGUCCCGAAAGAGGCCCCUGCAUCCCCGGCGCCCAGCGCCCCUUUUCCCCCGAGAUCCGACUUGACUGACUGGAGAGCGUAUGCUGCUUUGAGGGGCGUCUCUCCAGCUUAAUACCCGAAGACUGCCCCAGACUCUCCCCUCCAUUCUUAAAAGCCUGGCUGUCGAAGAUUCUGGAAUUAAAGACAUGCAUGCCAUUCCAACCUGGUGAUUUUAGGUAAACGGUUUAACCUGCACCGUCUUAAGUGUCCUCCCCUGGGAAAAAAGGUGGUUGUGAGGAUUAGGUGAGAUAUAUGUAAAAUGGCGGGUUUUGUA
rnacentral:lncRNA from 1 species